AUUGAACGCUGGCGGAAUGCUUUACACAUGCAAGUCGAGCGGCAGCGCGGGGCAACCUGGCGGCGAGCGGCGAACGGGUGAGUAAUGCAUCGGAACAUGUCCAUGUCGUGGGGGAUAGCCCGGCGAAAGCCGGAUUAAUACCGCAUACGCCCGAGAGGGGAAAGCAGGGGACCGCAAGGCCUUGCGCGAUUGGGUUGGCCGAUGUCCGAUUAGCUUGUUGGUGAGGUAAAGGCUUACCAAGGCGAUGAUCGGUAGCUGGUCUGAGAGGAUGAUCCGCCACACUGGAACUGAGACACGGUCCAGACUCCUACGGGAGGCAGCAGUGGGGAAUUUUGGACAAUGGGGGCAACCCUGAUCCAGCCAUGCCGCGUGAGUGAAGAAGGCCUC
rnacentral:rRNA from 1 species